GACGAACGCUGGCGGCGUGCUUAACACAUGCAAGUCGAACGGAAAGGCCCGGCUUUUGUGGGGUGCUCGAGUGGCGAACGGGUGAGUAACACGUGAGUAACCUGCCCUUGACUUUGGGAUAACUUCAGGAAACUGGGGCUAAUACCGGAUAGGAGCUCCUGCUGCAUGGUGGGGGUUGGAAAGUUUCGGCGGUUGGGGAUGGUCUCGCGGCUUAUCAGCUUGUUGGUGGGGUAGUGGCUUACCAAGGCUUUGACGGGUAGCCGGCCUGAGAGGGUGGCCGGCCACAUUGGGACUGCGAUACGGCCCAGACUCCUACGGGAGGCAGUAGUGGGGAAUAUUGCACAAUGGGCGGAAGCCUGAUGCAGCAACGCUGCGUGCGGGAUGACGGCCUUCGGGUUGUAAACCGAUUUGGCCUGUGACGAAGCGUGAGUGACGGUAAUGGGUAAAGAAGCACCGGCUAACUACGUG
rnacentral:rRNA from 1 species